rnacentral:tRNA from 1 species
GGGAACGUGGUGCAAUCCGGCUAACAUUGGGGCCUCCAGAGCCUUAGAUCUGGGAAAUCACAAGAGACCUUGUGGUUCAGAAAUUCAAAUCCCAGCGUUCCCA